ensembl:lncRNA
AGCGCAUCCAUGUAAAGGAACACUGCAAGUCACCGAGCACAGGGCUGAGCCUCACAGGGACACGUGUCUCAUGCCACUUGACAAUUCAAUUACACUGCGUUCAAAGCACUGCUGAUCUCAUCUCCAAGGCAGAAUCAUGGUGGGACACAGCAGCACUCACUGCCAUCUGCACCCCCAGGAAGGGCAGCACCUCACAGCAAAGACCCCUUGGGCGUUCCUCUCUAUUCUCCCCAGUGGAGCAGAAGCAGAGGGAGAUGAAAACAGGGACAUCAUCUAUUUGCUGGCCCCACUCCCUCCUGCAUCCUCAGAGAGCUUGUGCACUGCACAUACCAAAAAGCCAUUGAGGAAGAGCAUCGGAGGCAAAAAGAACAUAUUCCUCCCAAGCAACUGCAUUGAAAUCGCUGCUUUUCAGAGCCAGGCACAUUCCCUGGAGGGGCCAAGAGGGGACUUUUAGCAAUGAUAUUCGUUAUAUCCCAUCUUUGUGGGUUUUACCCCGGCAGGAAGGCACGGGUGCUCUGCAGUCCCACCAGGGGGCAGCGCGCACCGCGCAGCGCAUGGAGCACUGAGGAGUCUCACUUCGUUGUUGUUGGUCCUCGCUCAGGUUUCUUGUUGGCUGUCAUCAUCAGGCUGCUCACGGGGAAAUAUGCCCAGGUGGAAAAGAGGAUUUUACAACAGGGAUUUCAGUCUGGUGGCUUAAUUAGUUCCCCCUGUGCAGGACACAGCUUAAAUCUCAGCUCACAGGGAGGAAAAGGCUGUAAUUCUGAUGUGAGUACCCUUGCAAGCACAGCUGUAGGCAC